rnacentral:hammerhead_ribozyme from 1 species
UGAAGAGUCCCAAAUAGGACGAAACAGCUGUC